AAAGCUCCCUUACAGCAGCCUGGACCCACUGAAAAAAAAAAUUCUGAGAACUGUUACUGUUGUCUCCAAAUGCAUCUAAGUUGUGUUCCAGAUGGACAACGUGCUGGAGAGCUAAGCUCUGGAUGGUUGAAGUUUUGAGAAAUGAUCGGGGCCA